UACGAAGGGGGCUAGCGUUGCUCGGAAUUACUGGGCGUAAAGCGCACGUAGGCGGUCUUUUAAGUCGGGGGUGAAAUCCUGGAGCUCAACUCCAGAACUGCCUUCGAUACUGGAAGACUCGAGUCCGGGAGAGGUGAGUGGAACUGCGAGUGUAGAGGUGAAAUUCGUAGAUAUCGCAAGAACACCAGUGGCGAAGGCGGCUCACUGGCCCGGUACUGACGCUGAGGUGCGAAAGCGUGGGAGCAACAGG
rnacentral:rRNA from 1 species